rnacentral:rRNA from 1 species
AUGAAGUGCCACUCGGUGGCCGCGCUCUGGUCGCCGUCGCCGCCUUCCCACCACAUCACCGCCGUCGCGGCCACCCCCGCCGCGCUCUUCACCGGCGCCGCCGACGGCACCGUCCUCCACUGGCCUCUCCCUCCUUCCCCGCCCUUCUGCCCACGCCCCUCCUCCCUCCUCUGCGCCCACGCCGCGGCCAUCACUGCCCUCUGCCCCCUCCCCUCCCCCGCCUCCCUCCUCGUCUCCUGCACUGCCGGCGUCAUAUCCCUCUUCUCCGCCUCCGCCCCCCUCCGCUGCCUCCGCCGCCGCUCGCUCCCGCCCUGGGCCGGCUCCCCUUCCCUCGUCGCGCUCCUCCCCACCACCUCCUCCUCCGCUUCGUCGAACCCCCGGGUCGCGAUCCUCUGCCACCCCCACGACGACGGCCACGCCCACCGCCACGUGUCUGCACUUGUCGUCGUCGAUGCCCGCACCCUCACGGUCCUUCACACCGCCUUCCUCGGGGCCCUCUCUGUCUCGCUCCCGAGGGCGAUCGCGCUCACGGUCUGCAGCGAUGACAAUGCCGUCAGUGUUGUGCUGGCUGACGCGCAGGGGCGGGCGCAGAUGGUGCCCGUGGUGGAGGGCGCGGCCGUCGAGGGUGACUCGCCGAGGCGGCUCAGCGUGAGUUCCUUGUCCAGCUUUGCAUCUGCAGAGGCGCCGGAUGGUACGGUGGAGGCCGUGGCGUUAUCGGACGACGGGAAGGUCGUUGCCUUGGUGCUGAAGACGAGCUGUUUGUUGAAAUGCGUUGUCGAGGGUUCCGUGCUGGGUGAGGUGUCUCUGGCGAACACUUCGCUAUGCAAGGAGGAGGAAACAGGGGUCAAGGGCUGCCUUUCUGGAGGGUUUUUUCUCCACGGAGGGGAGUGGGGAGGCCCUCACUCUGAGGAUGGCACUGUGGUCAGGAGCUUGGUGUUGUGGAGCAGCAAUGGUGGUGCCAUGGUGUACAAGGUUGCUGUUGGUACUCCUCCUUUGUUUGGGUGUGAGGCUGUAUGUAAAAUUCCUGGUAUUUCAUCCGAGCAGGGAGAAAUGCCAGUAGUUCAAUAUUGCCAGAUGGGCAACUGUCUUAUUAGGAUGGAAUCCCGUCCGUAUAAGAUUGGUGGUUCCUUGUUUUGGAAACCGUUCAUCUCCAUAUGGUCUAUGGAUCAACUAGAUUUGAGUAUUGCAAUGAACACAGAGAGCCCACCUUUGAGCAAAGUUCUUGGAGAAGGCAGUCUUCAGGGAGAAGAAUUUAGGUCAGAGCUCUCUAAUUCACUACCCAAUUCAGACAAUGGAGUGGAAAUAAGUUCACAGAUGUGCUCAGCAUACAUCAAUGGAUCGGGAAAGCAUGGAAGGACCGUGUCUUCUUCGAUGGUACUUUCCGAGGAUUCUUAUGCUCCAUAUGCCAUAGUUUAUGGUUUCCAUAAUGGUGACAUAGAAGUUAUCCGAUUUCUCAAUCUGUUGCCAGCCGCACAAUUUGGUAGCGGAGGGGUUUACCCACAUAUUUCUGAAAGAUUUUUCUUGGGGCACAAGGGAGCAAUUCUUUGCUUGGCUGCACACCACAUGCAUGCCCACUCUGACUCUAGAAGCUUUCGACGAGCACUCAUAUCGGGGAGUUUGGAUUGUACGAUUCGUGUCUGGGAUCUUGAUGGCGGCUCCCUCCUUUCUGUGAUGCAUCACCAUGUUGCGGCGGUUAAGCAAAUAAUACUACCACCAGCUUCGACUCAUCAGCCUUGGGAUGAUUGUUUUGUUUCUGUUGGAGAAGAUGGCCUUGUAGCACUUGUUUCUCUUCAAACCAUGCGUGUCGAGAGGAUGUUUCCUGGGCAUUCUUGUUACCCAUCAAUGGUUGCUUGGGAUGGAGUAAAAGGGUACAUUGCUUGUUUAUGCCGUAGUCUGCACUCUUGUAAUGACGUGGGCAGCAUAUUGUAUAUAUGGGAUGUGAAAACAGGUGCUCGAGACCGAAUUAUUAGAGGGACAACAUCUCAAUCAGUAUUUGAACACUUCUGUAGGGGCAUUUCCAAAAAUUCAGUUACUGGCGGCAUCUUGGGAGGGACAACUUCAGCAUCUUCCUUACUUGUUCCAAUUUUGAAAGGCACCCAGUCUCCUGCAAAUAGAAAUGGGAUGAACAUCUCAUCUAUACCAACGAACCAUCACAAUGCUGCAGAUUCCAUAGCUUUGAGUGUCUCUGCUGCGCAUGAUGUGAAGGGGAAGACACCAGCUCCAGUUGAUAGAGAUAAUUCUGCAUAUAGUUCAGGAAAAUCUGGCUCUGCCCAGAUAACAAACAAAAGAAGAAAGUACCCCAUAAAGUGCUCAUGUCCAUAUCCCGGCAUUGCAAGUUUGAGAUUUGACCUCACUGCAAUUAUGUCCGCACAAGGCAUGUCAAACAGCAAUAGUGAUAGGCAGUUGAGAGAUCAUCUUUGUGGUGAUGCUAACAAAGAAACUAUGCCGCCUGGAGCUUUAAAUAAUACCUCUGGGAUCCUAGAAAUGGAUAGCCCAUCUAGAGAGUCAUUGGAAGGGCAAUUACUUCGAUUUAGUCUCUGUUUUCUGCAUUUGUGGGAUGUUGAUUGUGAGCUGGACAAAUUACUUGUGGAUGAGAUGCAAGUUUGCAAGCCAGAAGGUUGUCAUAUAGCUACAGGGGUGGUAGGGGAUAGAGGCUCGUUUACGGUGAUGUUCCCAGGGAAAGAAGCCACUCUUGAGAUUUGGAAGUCCUCUGCUGAAUUUUGUGCUAUGAGGUCGCUGUCAAUAGUUUCUCUUGCCCAACGCAUGAUCACAUUAUCUCGAUCUUGUACAAAUGCUGGCAGUGCCUUGGCAGCUUUUUAUACAAGACACUUUGCUGAGAAAGUCCCAGAUAUAAAGCCCCCAUCCCUCCAGCUUCUGGUGAGCUUUUGGCAACAUCCUUCUGAACAUGUGCGAAUGGCUGCCCGCUCCUUAUUUCACUGCUCAGCUCCUCACUCUGUUCCAUUACCCCUCCGUGUACAGAGAAAUAAAAUUCCUGAUCACUUGUCUUUAUCUGAUCAUAUGGACAAGCUUAUCCCAGAGAUGCAGAGUGCCUCAGUAUCUAGUUAUGGACAGUUCAAGGUGGAUGACGAAAAUCUUGAUAGGGAUGAUGAUGAUACUUCUCAGAUAAGCUCAUGGCUGGAAUCAUUUGAAAAUCAGGAGUGGCUAUCUUGGAUUGGAGGAACAAGCCAGGAUGCAGUGGCAUCAAAUAUCAUUGUUGCAGCUGCUUUCGUUGUUUGGUACCCAAGCAUUGUGAAAGUUAAGCUUGCAAAGUUGGUUGUCAAUCAACUAAUCAAGUUAGUUAUGUCGAUGAAUGAUCGUUACAGUUCAACUGCAGCUGAGCUUCUAGCGGAGGGAAUGGAAAGCACAUGGAAAAUAUGUUUGGGGACUGACAUCACUCAUUUCUUGAGUGACGUCCUUUUCCAAAUUGAGUGUCUAAGUAGUGCACCUUCUAGCAAUGUCAUCUAUAAAACUGCAGUUGCUGUUACAAUGAGGGAGUCAUUAGUUGGCACCCUUCUACCAAGCUUGGCUAUGGCUGACAUAAUGGGAUUUUUUGGUGUAAUAGAAAGUCAAAUUUGGGCUACUUCAUCUGAUUCACCUGUUCACGUAGUCUCGCUCAAAACUCUCAUCCGAGUACUUCGAGGCUCUCCAAAGGCCCUGGCUCCUUAUCUUGACAAGGCAAUCAGCUAUAUCCUACACACGAUGGAUCCAAGCAAUUUAAUAAUGCGUAAAGCUUGCAUUAUCAGCUCAAUGAUGGCUCUAAGAGAAAUUGCCCGUGUAUUUCCAAUGGUUGCUCUCAAUGAAUCAAUGACAAGAUUAGCUGUUGGUGAUGCUAUUGGAGAGAUUCACAGUGCCACAAUUCGUGUUUAUGACAUAGAAAGUGUCACAAAAAUAAGAAUUCUCGAUGCAUGUGGACCACCAGGUCUUCCAAGCUUUCUCAAAGGACCAUCGGAUACAACAACAACCAUACUGAUAACAGCUUUGAGUUUCUCACCAGAUGGAGAGGGCCUUGUCGCUUUCUCGGAGAACGGAUUGAUGAUUAGAUGGUGGUCUCUUGGUUCAGCCUGGUGGGAGAGGCUAAGCAGAAGCCUUUCUCCUAUUCAGUGCACAAAACUUAUCUAUGUUCCUCCAUGGGAAGGAUUUUCACCCAACUCAGCUCGCCUAAGUAUUAUUUCUAACAUCUUGGGACAUGAUAAACAUCAAAAUUCAGAGAGCAAGACGAGGGAACUAGAUGAGGCUGAUAAUCUAAAACUGCUGUUACAUAAUCUUGACCUUUCUUACCGCCUUCAUUGGGUUGGUGGAAAGACCAUUAAACUUACAAGGCAUGAUCAGGACCUGGGUACAUUUCAGUUGUGA